rnacentral:rRNA from 1 species
CGUGAGAUGUUGGGUUAAGUCCCGCAACGAGCGCAACCCUUGCCAUUAAUUGCCAUCAUUAAGUUGGGCACUUUAAUGGGACUGCCGGUGACAAACCGGAGGAAGGUGGGGAUGACGUCAAGUCCUCAUGGCCCUUAUGGGUAGGGCUUCACACGUCAUACAAUGGUCGGUACAGAGGGUUGCCAAGCCGCGAGGUGGAGCGAAUCUCACAAAGCCGAUCGUAGUCCGGAUCGUAGUCUGCAACUCGACUACG